rnacentral:rRNA from 1 species
UACGAAGGGGGCUAGCGUUGCUCGGAAUUACUGGGCGUAAAGGGAGCGUAGGCGGGUUAUCAAGUUGGGGGUGAAAGCCCGGGGCUCAACCUCGGAAUUGCCUUCAAAACUGAUAACCUGGAGUAUGGAAGAGGUAAGUGGAAUUCCGAGUGUAGAGGUGAAAUUCGUAGAUAUUCGGAGGAACACCAGUGGCGAAGGCGACUUACUGGUCCAUUACUGACGCUGAGGCUCGAAAGCGUGGGGAGCAAACAGG